rnacentral:rRNA from 1 species
CGGGGAGCAGCAGGCGCGAAACCUCUGCAAUAGGCGAAAGCUUGACAGGGUUACUCUGAGUGAUUUCCGUUAAGGAGAUCUUUUGGCACCUCUAAAAAUGGUGCAGAAUAAGGGGUGGGCAAGUCUGGUGUCAGCCGCCGCGGUAAUACCAGCACCCCGAGUGGUCGGGACGUUUAUUGGGCCUAAAGCAUCCGUAGCCGGUUCUACAAGUCUUCCGUUAAAUCCACCUGCUUAACAGAUGGGCUGCGGAGGAUACUAUAGAGCUAGGAGGCGGGAGAGGCAAGCGGUACUCGAUGGGUAGGGGUAAAAUCCGUUGAUCCAUUGAAGACCACCAGUGGCGAAGGCGGCUUGCCAGAACGCGCUCGACGGUGAGGGAUGAAAGCUGGGGGAGCAAACCGGAUUAGAUACCCGGGUAGUCCCAGCUGUAAACGAUGCAGACUCGGUGAUGAGUUGGCUUAUUGCUAACUCAGUGCCGCAGGGAAGCCGUUAAGUUUGCCGCCUGGGGAGUACGGUCGCAAGACUGAAACUUAAAGGAAUUGGCGGGGGAGCA